GACGAACGCUGGCGGCGUGCUUAACACAUGCAAGUCGAACGGUGAAGCGCCUUCCUUUUUGGUGGGUGUGGAUGAGUGGCGAACGGGUGAGUAACACGUGAGUAACCUGCCCCCUUCUUCUGGAUAACCGCAUGAAAGUGUGGCUAAUACGGGAUAUUCUGUGUCUGUCGCAUGAUGGGUCUGGGAAAGAUAUUGUUUCGGUGGGGGAUGGGCUCGCGGCCUAUCAGCUUGUUGGUGGGGUGAUGGCCUACCAAGGCGGUGACGGGUAGCCGGCCUGAGAGGGUGGACGGUCACACUGGGACUGAGACACGGCCCCGACUACUACGGGAGGCAGCAGUGGGGAAUAUUGCACAGUGGGCGGAAGCCUGAUGCAGCGACGCCGCGGGAGGGAUGGAGGCCUGCGGGUUGUGAACCUCUUUCGCCAGUGAAGCAGGCCUGCCUCGUUUGUGGGUGGGUUGACGGUAGCUGGAUAAGAAGCGCCGGCUAACUACGUG
rnacentral:rRNA from 1 species